CAUUCCUGGGGAGCCUCUCCCGAUGGAUUGGUUGGGGACGAUGGUUUAAUAGAGGUCAAAUGUCUCCAAUCAAUCAAAGAAAAGCUAAGGGACUACAAGAAACCGCACUGCUUCACUAUCGAGGAUGAUAGAAUAAGGCUGAAAGAAAGUCAUAAUUAUUUCUACCAAGUGCAAGGACAGUUGAAUAUCUGCAAAAAAAAAUUGUGAUUUCGUUCUAUAUACAGAUGAUGAUUUCCACAUAGAAAGAAUAGAAUGUGACGAGGCACUGUGGAGAAAUAUCAUGUUGCCAUAGCUGGAGCAGUUCUAUAUGAAUUGCAUUCUUCCUGAAAUAAUAGAUGGAGAAUACCAAGAGGAAUGCGAGCACGGGAUAUAAAUGAAACAAGGCAAUAAUUUUAAAGUUGUACAAAUAAAAUAUUUCGAAUUUCA